rnacentral:rRNA from 1 species
UACGUAGGGAGCAAGCGUUGUUCGGAUUUACUGGGCGUAAAGGGCGCGUAGGCGGCAAUUCAAGUCAGCUGUGAAAUCUCCGGGCUUAACUCGGAACGGUCAGCUGAUACUGCUUUGCUAGAGUGCGGAAGGGGCAAUCGGAAUUCUCGGUGUAGCGGUGAAAUGCGUAGAUAUCGAGAGGAACACCUGAGGUGAAGACGGGUUGCUGGGCCGACACUGACGCUGACAGCGCGAAAGCCAGGGGAGCAAACGGGG